GAACAGGGAAAGAGUGUGAAUGCUGCAGUUUAUUGGAUAAAUUGUUCUAUAAAGAUCAGGUUAGGUUAAAGUGGUUAAUAUUUUUAGAUCUUCCACAUCCUUCUAGAUUUUUAUCUCGUUAUUAAAGAGGAAAUUGAUAUUUCUACAUGUAAAUUUGUCUAUUUGUCUCUCUAUUUCAGCCAGCCUUUGCUUCAUCUAUUUUUAAGAUCAGUUAUUAACCACCUACAUUUUAGGUUUGCUAUGUCUUCUUCAUGGAUUGACCCAUUAAUCAUUAUAAAUGUCUUUCUCUAUCUGUGAUAAUACUUCUUGUCUUGAGGUUCAUUAAGUCUAAUAUUAAUAAAACUCUUUUCAAAAAAAAACUUUUCAGCUUUCUUUUACAUUUACAUGGUGUAUGUAUUUCAUUCUUUUCAUGUCAACCAAUUUUUUAAAAUUUAAAGAAAUUAGUGAUAUGGUUGAAUUUAGCUCUGUCCUUUCUGUUACUUGCUUCUCUUAGAUUGAAGUAUAGUAGAUUCACAGUAUUGUGUUAGCUGUGGUGUAUAGCAAAGUGAUCGAUGUAUGUGUACAUAUGUGUAUAUAUAUUAUGUUUUAAUGAUUUUUUUCAACUACCUUAAAGUCUUUUUAAAUUUAUUGUUGGCUGCACUGGGCCUUUGUUGUGUUGUGGUGCAAGGGCUUCUUACUGCAGUGGUUUCUCUUGUUGUGCAGCACAGGCUAGAGGGCAUGCAGCCUUCAGUAGCUGUGGCACAAGGAUUUAGUUGCCCCAAGGCACAUGGAAUCAUCCUGGACCGGGAAUUGAGCCUGUGUGCCCUGCAUUGGCAGAUUUCACUCUGAACUGCCUGUCCCAUUUUGAUGUGGAAACAUCUGGAAACAUUUCCCAUCUGCUACUGCACUCCUUGAGGACAAUUCAGCUUUCCACUGAAUCCAGAGCUGAUGUUUUGGGAGGAGGAGCAGAAAAAGGUCCGUCUAGUCAAGGCUAUGGGUUUUCCAGUAGUCAUGUAUGGAUGUGAAAGUUGGACUGUGAAGAAAGCUGAGCACCAAAGAAUUGAUGCUUUUGAACUGUGGUGUUGGAGAAGACUCUUGAGAGUCCCUUGGACAGCAAGAUCCAACCAGUCCAUCCUAAAGGAGAUCAGUCCUGGGUGUUCAUUGGAAGGACUGAUGCUGAGGCUGAAACUCCAAUACUUUGGCCACCUCAUGCAUAGAGUUGACUUAUUUGAAAAGCCCCUGAUGCUGAGAAGGAUUGGGGGCAGGAGGAGAAGGGGAUGACAGAGGAUGAAUUGGCUGGAUGGCAUUACAGACUCG
ensembl:lncRNA